rnacentral:rRNA from 1 species
UAGGGAAUAUUGGGCAAUGGAGGCAACUCUGACCCAGCAACGCCGCGUGAAUGAAGAAGGUUUUAGGAUUGUAAAGUUCUGUUCUUAGGGAAGAAAAAAAUGACGGUACCUGAGAAGAAAGCCCCGGCAAACUACGUGCCAGCAGCCGCGGUAAUACGUAGGGGGCAAGCGUUGUCCGGAAUGACUGGGCGUAAAGGGAGUGUAGGUGGUUUUGCAAGUUAACUGUGAAAGCCUUGGGCUUAACCCAAGAAUUGCAGUUAAAACUGCUCGACUAGAGUGCAGGAGAGGAAAGUGGAAUUCCAUGUGUAGCGGUAGAAUGCGUAGAUAUAUGGAGGAACAUCGGUGGCGAAGGCGGCUUUCUGGACUGUAACUGACACUGAGACUCGAAAGCGUGGGGAGCAAACA